rnacentral:rRNA from 1 species
AUACGGAGGGUGCAAACGUUAAUCGGAAUUACUGGGCGUAAAGCGCGCGUAGGUGGUUUAGUAAGUCGGAUGUGAAAGCCCUGGGCUCAACCUGGGAAUUGCAUUCGAUACUGCUUGACUAGAGUAUGGUAGAGGGAAGUGGAAUUUCCGGUGUAGCGGUGAAAUGCGUAGAUAUCGGAAGGAACACCAGUGGCGAAGGCGGCUUCCUGGAUCAAGACUGACGCUGAGGCUCGAAAGCGUGGGGAGCAAACAGGAUUAGAAACCCCAGUAGUCC